rnacentral:rRNA from 1 species
CCUACGGGAGGCAGCAGUGGGGAAUUUUGGACAAUGGGCGCAAGCCUGAUCCAGCAAUGCCGCGUGAGUGAAGAAGGCCUUCGGGUUGUAAAGCCCUUUUGUCAGGGAAGAAACGGCUGAGGCUAAUAUCCUCGGCUAAUGACGGUACCUGAAGAAUAAGCACCGGCUAACUACGUGCCAGCAGCCGCGGUAAUACGUAGGGUGCAAGCGUUAAUCGGAAUUACUGGGCGUAAAGCGUGCGCAGGCGGUUUUGUAAGUCUGUCGUGAAAGCCCCGGGCUUAACCUGGGAAUUGCGAUGGAGACUGCAAGGCUUGAAUCUGGCAGAGGGGGGUAGAAUUCCACGUGUAGCAGUGAAAUGCGUAGAGAUGUGGAGGAACACCGAUGGCGAAGGCAGCCCCCUGGGUCAAGAUUGACGCUCAUGCACGAAAGCGUGGGGAGCAAACAGGAUUAGAUACCCUGGUAGUCCACGCCCUAAACGAUGUCUACUAGUUGUCGGGUCUUAAUUGACUUGGUAACGCAGCUAACGCGUGAAGUAGACCGCCUGGGGAGUAACGGUCGCAAGNUUAAAACUUCAAAGGAAUUGACGGCUGAGAGNGCGAGACGACACGAGGAGGAGG